UUCUCCUGGGGCGUGGCUGGGGAGGGACAGACCCAACCUCACGCUCCGUGGCCUCUGCCCCCAG
ensembl:miRNA